rnacentral:rRNA from 1 species
ACAUCCAGAGAACUUAGCAGAGAUGCUUUGGUGCCUUCGGGAACUCUGAGACAGGUGCUGCAUGGCUGUCGUCAGCUCGUGUUGUGAAAUGUUGGGUUAAGUCCCGCAACGAGCGCAACCCUUAUCCUUUGUUGCCAGCGGUUCGGCCGGGAACUCAAAGGAGACUGCCGGUGAUAAACCGGAGGAAGGUGGGGAUGACGUCAAGUCAUCAUGGCCCUUACGGCCAGGGCUACACACGUGCUACAAUGGCGCAUACAAAGAGAAGCGACCUCGCGAGAGCAAGCGGACCUCAUAAAGUGCGUCGUAGUCCGGAUUGGAGUCUGCAACUCGACUCCAUGAAGUCGGAAUCGCUAAUAAUCGUAGAUCAGAAUGCUACGGUGAAUACGUUCCCGGGCCUUGUACACACCGCCCGUCACACCAUGGGAGUGGGUUGCAAAAGAAGUAGGUAGCUUAACCUUCGGGAGGGCGCUUACCACUUUGUGAUUCAUGACUGGGGUGAAGUCGUAACAAGGUAGGCGUAGCGAG